rnacentral:rRNA from 1 species
UACGUAGGUCCCGAGCGUUGUCCGGAUUUAUUGGGCGUAAAGAGUACGUAGGUGGCAACCUAAGCGCAGGGUUUAAGGCAGUGGCUCAACCAUUGUUCGCCCUGCGAACUGGGAUGCUUGAGUGCAGGAGAGGAAAGCGGAAUUCCUAGUGUAGCGGUGAAAUGCGUAGAUAUUAGGAGGAACACCAGUGGCGAAGGCGGCUUUCUGGACUGUAACUGACACUGAGGUACGAAAGCGUGGGGAGCAAACAGG